UAUAAGGGAUUUUGAGUUUUUGCUUGCAACGUUUGACCACUCGUCUUAUUCAAAAAAUUCUGAAAUUAUUAAUUAUUUUAUUUGUGACUUACUCUAUUAUCUACAGUACUUUAAGCACAACUUUUUCGUUUUUUAUAUUUGCAAAAAAAAUUAAAUAAGAUGAGUGGUCAAACGUUGCAAGAAAAAAAACUAAAAAUCGCUUAUA
rnacentral:pre_miRNA from 1 species